AACGAACGCUGGCGGCGCGCCUAAUACAUGCAAGUCGAGCGAGAAGACGUAGCAAUACGUUUGUAAAGCGGCGAACGGGUGAGGAAUACAUGGGUAACCUACCCUCGAGUGGGGAAUAACUAGCCGAAAGGUUAGCUAAUACCGCGUACGCUCCUUGGACUUCGGUUCAGGGAGGAAAGCGAUACCGUGGGUAUCGCGCUCUUGGAUGGGCUCAUGUCCUAUCAGCUUGUUGGGAGGUAACGGCUCACCAAGGCUUCGACGGGUAGCUGGUCUGAGAGGACGAUCAGCCACACUGGCACUGCGACACGGGCCAGACUCCUACGGGAGGCAGCAGUAAGGAAUAUUGCGCAAUGGGCGAAAGCCUGACGCAGCGACGCCGCGUGGGGGAUGAAGGUCUUCGGAUUGUAAACCCCUUUCGGGAGGGAAGAUGGAACGAGCAAUCGUUCGGACGGUACCUCCAGAAGCAGCCACGGCUAACUUCGUGCCAG
rnacentral:rRNA from 1 species